UGUUUGUGUAAAUAAAUAUAUACAGACAGUCGUCAGAUUACAUCGGACUCGACGUACAUCGUUUUGUGGUUACGUCGC